UCACAAGGAAGUCAAUUUCAGGAUGAUAUCAUAACAAAAAAUCUGGCUAGUGGCUACGUAAUACGUCCAUCCUGAGGGACUUUCCCGCGAGAACUUGAGAGGCAAAUCAAUCAUACGCAGUUUGUCGCAACUGGCAACAGCUGAAAAGUUCAAGUAAGUUGAUUCUGUUGUGGAAUUUUCAAAUGUAUUAUAGCCUAAUAAUGGAUACGAGUGAAGACGAAAACUUGUUGUUAGAAAACAACACUGAAGAUCCAGAACCACGCAGCAAGAAAAAGAAUCAUCAAAACAGUUCCGCGUUGCGGCAUGACAAUAAAUUUUUGUCGGUGUUAACAUCUCAACGCUUCGAAAGAUUUAUGGCAGUUGUGCUUUUCGUUAUCCUUCUUGUGCUUUUCGUUAUCCUUGUCGUGCUUUUGCACCAAUUACAAUCACUACGAAAUGAUAACAUAUGCUUAAACAAAGAAGUCGAAAUUCUUAAAGCGGAGAGCAACAAAGCAACAAGUUCAAAUAUGAGUCUUGCCCUUCAUCAAAAUCAAUUUGAACUGAAAACGCUUUCAAAGAAUUUAGGUAUAGAACACAUUAACCAGGAGUUGAAAGCUCUCCAUGUCCAAAUUUCGAACCUAAGCAAGAUUGUUUUGAAAAGCGGUAAGAUAAGUACUCCUUCCUUGAAUAAGGAAAAAUCAAAUAAAACCAAAAUGAAUGCCAUUCAUUUGCAAAACAGCAUGUUAAAGGGGAAGUCAGAGCUCGGAACAACUUAGGCUCAAAUGAAAGAGUAUUGUAUUAUUACUUUGCAUACCAAGUCUAAAAUCUUUACGUUAAAUACAACUCGAGAAAUAAAGCAAUGAAACUGCGUUAUUUUGCAAAUAUAAAUGUACAUCCGAGCGAACCUGCGAUCAAGCAGCGGAAUUACAUCGUUACGUCACUGCGCGACUCUGUAAUCGAGCAAUUUCGAAGAGAAUAGAAUAGAUAUUUUGUCUGUCAAUUUUAAAGUCUUCUAGGUUAAUGGCGCAUUUAAACGAUUCUUCGAGCGAUAUUUUGACCUGUUCUAACUUAAAAGAUGGUAAAGAAAUUUCAAAGAUAAAUGGAGGGUUUAAAUAUUAUACUUUUGAACUGGUUAAUGAAACGGGGACAUAUUUUUCUGACAUGCUAAGACGAAAGCAGAAAAUAUGUGUAUUGAAGAUUCUAAUUCAGAGUUUUAACGACACCACAAUUUUCGAGGUAAAUCGUAAAACCUUGCUGUUGAUGCCAUCUUCAA